GUUAUAUUCCAACUUUUUCGAAAUCUUGAAUUCUUCGAUCUUCGACAACACGCACCGAUUCUUCAAGACUCCGACUCACUUCACGAAACUUGCCAACACACACGACUUAAUAAUCUCCCCCUUUGGCAAUUUCAUGACAAAACUCACAACAAUCUCAAAAAUUACAAUUUAAAGAAAAACGAAGUUCAAUUGUCAUCGCCAAAACAUUGAACCUCGCGUGUAAUCCAAAUACAAUUUGAAACUCAAAAUUACAUCAAAACUCCUAAAACAGAUUCUAUGACUUAGACACAACUAGGAGUCUUGAAGUCUUGAUUUCCUGCACAACAAUAUAUCCACAAAGAUAAAAAAAUUGUUGAAACCUAGAUUAUUCUUACAAUUUACGCUUCUUCUCCCCCUUUGUUCUUUAUUCCUUCUUUUCCUUGAAAUAUCACUCCUUCUCUCCCUUUGUUCACCUUUGCUUUAGAUCAACACCUGUUCAUCAUUGCUCUCCCUCUUUUUGUCAAAAAUU
rnacentral:lncRNA from 1 species